rnacentral:rRNA from 1 species
UACGUAGGGUGCAAGCGUUAAUCGGAAUUACUGGGCGUAAAGCGUGCGCAGGCGGCUUUGCAAGACAGAUGUGAAAUCCCCGGGCUUAACCUGGGAACUGCAUUUGUGACUGCAUGGCUGGAGUGCGGCAGAGGGGGAUGGAAUUCCGAGUGUAGCAGUGAAAUGCGUAGAUAUGCGGAGGAACACCGAUGGCGAAGGCAGCCAGCUGGGCCUGUACUGACGCUCAUGCACGAAAGCGUGGGGAGCAAACAGG